rnacentral:ncRNA from 1 species
UAGCGUUGUCUUUGCUUCUUAACAGUCUGAAUCAAACAUACCCUGGAAUCAGAUUAUCUGGAGAUAGGGUUGACUGGCUGGUAAUGCUUUCUGGCUUCCAGAGAGUCCGGCGCGCUCCUGAAUGUCCCUGAAAAGAGGAGGGAAAGUUGUUAUUUGCACCCCUGGCCGUACCAUUAACCGCAUCAGGUCUCCAAGGUUAGCAGCCUGUGGUCGAUAGAAGAAAGUAGAUAAGGGAAGUCGGCAAAAUGGAUCCGUAACUUCGGGAAAAGGAUUGGCUCUGAGGGCUGGGUGUAUAGCGUCAGUGUGUUCGUUGUUGGUUGGAGCUGUGUGGGCCCUUUCGCGCCUCGCGGUGCGCUUGUGGACCACUGGCACUGACAGCGAUGCGACCACUGAUUUGCAUACACAGUGAACAGCUAGCUCAGAACUGGAGCGGACAAGGGGAAUCCGACUCCUUAAUUAAAACAAGGCAUUGCGAUUAGCAGCAAACGGUGUUGACGCAAUGUGAUUUCUGCCCAGUGCUCUGAAUGUCAAUGUGAUGAAAUUCAACCAUGCGCGGGUUAACGGCGGGCGUAACUAUGACGUUGAAAAUUUGAUAGCUGGGUUUUGGAGUUGGGCGUUGCCGCCUCGAGCAAAAAAGGCUGAAAAGGGGGAUGCGAGGGAGCUCCAACUCCUACGGCACGCCCGGAUGUCGAGCCAACCGUCUUCACGCGUUUGGUGUUGCUACCGAGCGUGUUAGGCUUGGUGUUCUAUUAGCUCAUUAUUGUGUCAAGCAACUUAAGAUGUGUUAGCACGAGAACGACCUCCUCAUCUUGCUCGCCUCGUGCAUUAUCUGCCAUGUGAAAACCCCAAAUGAGGUAGCCAAAUGCCUUGUCAUUUAAUUAGUGACGUGCAUGAAUGGAUUAACGAGACCUUCACUGUCCCUACUAUCUAGCGAAUCCACAGCCAAGGGAACAGGCUUGGCGGAAUCAGCGGGGAAAGAAGAGCAUGUUGAGCUUGACUCUAGUCCGAAUUUGUGGAAUGACUUGGGAGGUGUAGCAUAGGUGGGAGCUUCGGCGAUCGUGAAAUACCACUACCCUCAGUGUCGUUUUACUUAUUCCGUCAAGUUGAGACGCAUGCUCGGCAUGUGUGUUUGUCUUAAGGUAUCUGUACUGGUACUGUGCGGAAGACACAGUCAGCUGGGGUGUUUGGCUGGGGAGGCACGUCUGUGAAACAAUAGCGCAGGUGUCCUAAGCAAGCUCAAUAAGAACAGAAAUCUCAUGUUGACCAAAAGGGGAAAAGCCUGCUUGAUUUUGAUUUUCAGUACGAAUACAAACUGUGAGAGCAUGGCCUAUCGAUCCCGUAGGUCUGAGAAACUUUCAACUAGAGGUGUCAGAAAAGCUACCACAGGGAUAACUGGCUUGUGGCAGCCAAGAGUUCACAGCGACGUUGCCUUUUAAUCCUUCGAUGUCGGCUCUUUCUAUCAUUCGGACGCAGAAGUCUCAAAGUGUCUGAUUGUUCACCCGCCAAUGGGGAACGUGAGCUGGGUUUACACCGUCGUGAGACACGUUAGUUUUACCCUACUGAUAAAUUUGCUACUGCGACAGUAAUCCAACUUAGUACGAGAGGAACAGUUGGUUCAGACACUUGGUUAAUGCGGCUAGCUGAAAAGCUAGUGCCGCGAAGCUACCAUCUGUUGGAUUAUGACUGAACGCCUCUAAGUCAGAACCCAUGCUGGCUAAGCAGUGUUUCUCAUCGCCUCAUUUGUUACUUGCAUAUGGUUUUAGUGCCUUUUGAGCACAACAUCUCAUCAAAGCCCUAUGCGUCAUGCGCUGGGCUAUAAUCGCAAUUUCCCACAAUUGAGGCGCUACAUCCAUUGCAGACGACUUUGGCGCAAACAGGUAAGUGUGAGAAUAGGCUUGCCCUACGAUCGACUAAGAUUCAGCCUGCGUUGUACGAUGUGU